CAACCAGUAUCAGACAUAUAUCC
rnacentral:miRNA from 14 species